CGACACUCGCGUAUGCGAGCGGCUACGCGACGUAUGUUGAUGUGUUUGGUCGAGGUUAUCGACCACACAAAUAGUAUAUAGAUACACAUACAUAUUAUAGAAGAAUAGAAUAACGGAGCUCAAAAUGAAACCGAUUUUCAAAGGGGGAACGUUCUCUAAGUCGAAACUAUGGCAUAGAGUAAAGUGGAGAUGGAAGCUAAGCUAAUGAAAAUAGAGAAGUCAGACGAGGUUGAAGAGAAUCGGGCGGAAACUCCUGAGCUUCUAAAUGCGUCUUAUAAUCCGGUACUGUGUAAUCUUGUGAAAUCGUGUGCAAUAAUGCGGUAGCAAGAGCAUUAUUACCAACGAGGAGAAGAGUGUAAAAGUAAAGAAAAAUGAGCAAGAAGAGAGUUCGCAUCGGAGAACCACUGAUCCACUUUGCAGGGUGCAACGCUCCGAGGUUCGCGAGUACUAUUGCAUCGCAAGAGGAAUGGCAUCCCAACGGUAACCUUCGAAUGGACACCUCGUGACGGAAUACGCAGCAGUGGAGAGAUAAAUCUAAGCGCAUCUAGCGAAAUAUAUUUGUUCGCAAGUUUGAAUGAGAAUAAUUUUUCAUUGAGGAUUCGGCCAAUCGAAUCAUGUCAUAAAUAAUACGAUUGGAUUCAAAAACAGAGAAGAACUAUAUUGUCGAAUGAAUAUAAUACUUAUCGAUUCGAUUACUUGUAAUAAUUAAGAUCUAUUAAAUAUAGUAGUAACCACUUAAAGAAUUGGAGAAAAAUAAAAUGAAAAUUUGAAGAGUGAAAUCACAAAGUCAAACCAGGACAAAUUUUCGCGGUCACUGACCUAUCCCCACCCCAGAGUGUGUUGAUUGCACGUACCGAGUAGAUUCAUCGAUGUACUAUCAUUGGCAGAAUAACGAGAAGCCAUCUGCACCAUCACUACCACUACAACCCCCCAACGGUUACAACCUACCGCAGAGUUAGCAGAAAAUCAACGACAACCGUUUCUCUUUACUUGUUAUUUGUUCAGUAAUCUGUUACUUAUUAACUUACAAAAAAAUUUAAUCCAGUUUUGUUGGUCUAUUAUAUUUAAGCAAUUAUUUUCAAUAUAUCGAAUGUGUGAAACUAGAUAUUUCAGUUUUAUAAUAUAAUAUGUGAUCUAAAUUGAGUUAUGUAUUGAUACUUAUCAGGCAAAGUAUAAUAUCUUAAGAUCUCAGUGAUGAUGAACAACCACAGGUCUGCGUUUAAUUUUUAACAAGUUCGAGAUUCAAAGUGUAAGAAAUUGUCGAUGUUUACGAAAAUCCAUGCGAGUAUUAAAUGCAAAUGUAAAAUGGCAGAUUGCCCGAUGUUGCGUUGCCACGUCGUAAGUCAUAUUACGAGAUAUUGCUGACACACACGGCAUUUAUGCGUUUGUCUACGAAAUACGUUCAUAGUACUUAAUAUAAUGCGCUCAUCAUCAUGAUCGUUUUGUCGUACAUAUAUCACGAGCUAUUUUUCUCUCUUUAGAGUUUUAUAUUCUUAUCAUUUACGAGUAAUGUCAUAGAAUAAUAUUUAUAUAUAUAUUAUGCAUAAAACCAAAGAGUUGAUCAUAAUUUGUUCUAAAUUCAAAAUGUCAAUUAAGAAUCGCGAAUAAGUCAGAUCAAGCAAUAGAUGAUUGUCCGUAUUUUAGAACACGAUGUUCAUGUUCGGAGGUAUUCGUUGGAUGACAGUCGAGAAUAACUAUACUCGAGCCUUGGUAGCAGACGAAUAAUCCGGUUGAAAAGUUAGAGCCGUAGAACAAUGGAGCAUUUCGUGUCGUCACUAGUACUCGGUAAUUUCUCUCUACAGAGAAAUGAAAACGGGAGGAGUCGCGAGAGUAAGAGAAAAA
rnacentral:lncRNA from 1 species